AGAGUUUGAUCCUGGCUCAGGAUGAACGCUAGCGGCAGGCUUAACACAUGCAAGUCGAGGGGCAGCACGAGGUAGCAAUACUUUGGUGGCGACCGGCGCACGGGUGCGUAACGCGUAUGCAACCUACCUUUAACAGGGGCAUAACACUGAGAAAUUGGUACUAAUUCCCCAUAACAUUCGAGAAGGCAUCUUCUUGGGUUAAAAACUCCGGUGGUUAAAGAUGGGCAUGCGUUGUAUUAGCUAGUUGGUGAGGUAACGGCUCACCAAGGCAACGAUACAUAGGGGGACUGAGAGGUUAACCCCCCACAUUGGUACUGAGACACGGACCAAACUCCUACGGGAGGCAGCAGUGAGGAAUAUUGGGCAAUGGGGGAAACCCUGACCCAGCAACGCCGCGUGAGGGAAGAAGGUUUUCGGAUUGUAAACCUCUGUCCUAAGAGAAGAGGGGAAGACGGUAUCUUAGGAGGAAGCCCCGGCUAACUACGUGCCAGCAGCCGCGGUAAUACGUAAGGGGCGAACGUUUGUCCGGAAUGAUUGGGCGUAAAGGGGCGUGUAGGCGGCUUGAUAAGUCUGGAGUGAAAGUCCUGUUUUCAGGGUGGGAAUUGCUUUGGUUACUGUAGGGCUUGAGUGCAGGAGAGGUUAUCGGCAUUCCCGGUGUAGCGGUGAAAUGCGUAGAGAUCGGGAGGAACACCAGUGGCGAAGGCGGGUAACUGGACUGCAACUGACGCUGAGGCGCGAAACGUGUGGGGAGCAAACAGGAUUAGAUACCCUGGGAGUCCCCCCCCGUAAACGAUGGAUACUAGGGGUAGGGGGAUAAUAAAUUCUCUGGUGCCGUCGCAAACGCAAUAAGUAUCCCACCUGGGGAGUACGGCCGCAAGGUUGAAACUCAAAGGAAAUUGACGGGGGCCCGCACAAGCAGUGGAGUAUGUGGUUUAAUUCGACGCAACGCGAAGAACCUUACCAAGUCUUGACAUCCUGCGACGCACAUAGAAAUAUGUGUUUCCUUCGGGACGCAGAGACAGGUGGUGCAUGGUUGUCGUCAGCUCGUGUCGUGAGAUGUUGGGUUAAGUCCCGCAACGAGCGCAACCCUUACUGUCAGUUACUACGCAAGAGGUCUCUGGCAGGACUGCCGUUGACAAAACGGAGGAAGGUGGGGAUGACGUCAAAUCAUCAUGCCCUUUAUGACUUGGGCUACACACGUACUACAAUGGCGUUAAACAAAGAGAAGCAAGACCGCGAGGUGGAGCAAAACUCAGAAACAACGUCCCAGUUCGGACUGCAGGCUGCAACUCGCCUGCACGAAGUCGGAAUUGCUAGUAAUCGUGGAUCAGCAUGCCACGGUGAAUACGUUCCCGGGCCUUGUACACAAAGCCCGUCA
rnacentral:rRNA from 1 species